rnacentral:lncRNA from 1 species
UUCUUCAUGUAGACAUCACAAAUAUUCUUAUGACAAAAAAUUCUUGUACUGCUCCUUUGAUAACAUCGCCCUAAUACGUUCUUCAUUAUCAUUGACUGUGUGACAUCUUAUAUGUGGUGCAAACCUUGAAAGUGCUCUUGUCAUGGAUAUAUAAUCAGCGGCACCGAUAAAACAAAAUAAUGACAUAAAUUUAUAUUACAUGUACUUUUCACAAAAAAAUAUAUAUGAGAUACAUAGUAUGCAUAUAUUUUCUUUUACAUAAUAGAUAUUACAUUACAAAAAAAAUACAUAUAGCUUUCUAUAUGUAUUUACAGGACGGAAAAGGGCCUGAAAUGCCCUUCAACUAUCUAAAAUGGUGCAAAAAUGCCCUCCAUCUACCUAUUGGGCCUAAAAUGCCCUUCAACUAUCUAAAAUGGUGCAAAAAAGCCCUCUCCGUCUACCUAUAGGGCCUAGUUUGCCCUUUUAUUUAACAAAUUAAGUUAUUGAAGGGCAUUUUAGCCCCAAAAGGUAGAUGAAAGACAUUUUUGCACAAUUUUAGAUAGUUGAAGGGCAUUUUAGGCCCUUUUCCGUAUAUACUAUAUAAAAAAUUUAUAAAAAUAAAUAAAAAUAAAAAUUAAAUUUAAAAAGCGACGAUGUCGCUUUAUAAAAAAAUAAUUUUUAUUUAGUUUUUAAAAAAAGCGACAUUGUCCGUCGCUUUUUGUAAAAAUAAAGAAAAAUUAAAGAUAAUUACAGAUUGCGAUGGACAGCGUCACUUUUCUAGAAAUACCCUAUUAAAAUUACGAAGCUAUCCGUCGCAUUUAUUAAAAAAAUUAUAAAUACCCUUUCAUCCAUAAUUAGUCGUCUCUUUUCAAAAACUAAUUAUUAUUAUUUGUAAAUAAAUUACGACGCUAUUUGUAAACUAAUUAUGGAUGAAAGGGUAUUUAUAAUUUUUUUAAUAAAUGCGACGGAUAGCUUCGUAAUUUUAAUAGGGUAUUUCUAGAAAAGUGACGCUGUCCAUCGCAAUCUGUAAUUAUCUUUAAUUUUUCUUUAUUUUUACAAAAAGCGACGGACAAUGUCGCUUUUUUUAAAAACUAAAUAAAAAUUAUUUUUUUAUAAAGCGACAUCGUCGCUUUUUAAAUUUAAUUUUUAUUUUUGUUUAUUUUUUAUAAAAUUUUAUAUAGUAUAUACGGAAAAGGGCCUAAAAUGCCCUUCAACUAUCUAAAAUGGUGCAAAAAUGCCCUCCAUCUACCUAUUGGACCUAAAAUGCCCUUCAAUAACUUAAUCUGUUAAAUAAAAGGGCAAACUAGGCCCUAUAGGUAGACGGAGAGGGUAUUUUUACACCAUUUUAGAUAGUUGAAGGGUAUUUCAGGCCUUUUUACGUUUAUAGAAUACAUGUCUAAUCCAUAUGUAUAUUAGCAUACAAAAAAUACAAAUAUGACUCUGAUAUGUAUUUACGAAAUACAUAUCAGGUUCAUAUCAAACAUUAACGAACAUAACUAUAAUAUAUAUCUCAUAUGUAUUCGCGAAAUACAAAUGCGACUCAUAUAAAACAAUAAAUACAAAUGCAUAUUUUAAACAGUAACAAUUAUAACUAUAUACAUUUACAUAUAACUAAAUAAAAAAAUACAUAAUAAAUAUCAUGAAUAUUAAAAAAUACUAAAAAAAUAUACAUGUUAUCCUCUAAAAAAAAUAUCAACACAACCAUAUGUGUAUAAAAAAUACAUAUAUUGUACAUAACCUAUAAGCUAAUAAAAAUACAAAUACAAAUAUCUUCAAAAUUUUAAAAUAAAGCAUCAUUACUGUUUUUCCUCUUCACAACUGUGAUUAAAUUUCAAAAUAAAGCAUUUGAAAAAAAGAAGUGAAAAGGCGGGAAAAAAGGAAGAAAGAGAAAUAAAAGAGUAAAAGUAAAAGCGAAAAAAAAAAGAAAUAAAAAUUAAAAUUAGAAAAAAAGAACAAGAAAAAAAAAUAGGAAAAGAAAAAAAUAUGGAAAAGGAAAAAAAUAAUAAAACAAAAAAGAAAAAAUAAAGAAAAAAAUGAAAAAGGAAAAAAAAAGAAGAGAGAAAUAAAGUGGAAUGAAAAAAAAAGAAAAAAUAAAUCAAAAUAAAAAAAUAAAAUGAAAAAAAAAAAGAUUGAAAAAAAAACUAAUAAGAAAAAAAGUUAGAAAUAUAAGAGAACGAAAGAGAAAAAAAACAAUAAUGAUGCAUUAUUUUAAAGUUUUAGAGCUAAUGGGCAAAAAAAGUUAGUUUUGUUAUAAAAUGUAAUUUUGGAAAAGUAUUGCUAUUUAUUUUAAUUAUGAUCUUAAGUUUGUUAUUUUUUAUAAUUUUUUCAAAUAUUAAUUACACAUUACAUAAUAACUUUGACUUUUUAAUAUGCCUAUUUAUAUUUUAUAUAUUGAAAUCUGAAUCUUGCAAAAUUUUCACAUGGUUUCCAAAGAAAUAAUGAGAAGGAGAGCAUUAUAAUAAUCGUUAAAUUAUCUUUAUUUAAUCUAUAUGUCAUGAGUUUGAACUGUACUAGUAGUCAAUAAUAUUCUAUAUCACACCCUCAGACUUACUAAUAUGGGGAUACUUUCUGAUUUUGCUAAUAUAAGUAUUUUGUGUUCUGAAUUUUUCUCUUUCUUUUUCUUUUUCACCAAAGAAAUAGUGAAUGGUAUCAAAAAAUUUGAUUAGUAGCAAGAUUAAUUCGAUUUGACUAUUGUUUUUUUUUUUUUCAAAUGAAUUAAAAACUAUCUUAUUGAAUGAUUUCAUCUCACACAUAUCAUUCUCAAGGCCAGAAAUUAAACAAAUUUAGAAAAUAGCUAGCAUAUGUGUAAUUUUCCAAUUGAUUCUAUGUUCAAGUGUUCUUUUUUUUUUUGGGUGGGGGUGGGGUGGGGGGAGUGCAAAUAACAUCAAUCCCAACAGGUUGAAAAUUAAUUAUAGAAAAUCCUGAUAUUCUUGCAUAAUUACUGAAAAUUUCAAUUUUGAGUCUGUUGAGAUAAAUAAUUAGCUCCGGAUAUAUUCAACAAAGAUAUAUUUUUUUCUUUGUAAAGAUACAUAUUUAACUUCCAAUACAUUUUUUUGAUUUUGGGUAUGUCGAAAUACAUAAUUAGCUCUCAAUACAUCAUAGAAAGAUACAUAAUUAGUUGAAAUUUUUAUAAUUACUUUAUAAGAGUAGGAAUUUAUAUAAAUAUGAUAAUUUAAGGUGUAUGUUUAUGUUAUUUCUUUUUUUUAUUUAUUUUUUAUUUCAUGUUCGAUAACCACAUCCACAUUAAUGCUCGAUUAAAUUUAAAUUCAUAUGUUGCAAGAUUAUUUUGUAGGAAACAUGGUGAAAUAAUCCCAACUAUUCUAAUUCCACCUAUCCAUAGGCCAUCACAAUCCGUGUCAGUGAAUUCUAAGUUCAAGUAAUUAUUUUUUUCCAAUGAGAAAGAAAUAGAAGAGUCCAAAUUAAAUCGGUGAAAUAAACUUGUAAAAAUGCUUUUAGUGUGAACAUUAUUUUAUCUCUUUUUGACAUUGUUAGCCGGAUAUAUCUGACAUGACUCAGAUGAACAAAAAGAUUGUCUUAAUAAUCCCUUUUUCUGAACUCCGCCUGACACGCAUUCAUAUACAUUGUUGGUGAACAAUUAUCAAUUAUACUUACAAUAAAUUAUAGGCGAAUUCAAAAUUUUAAAAGAUGGACUUGCCAUUAUGAAGGAAAGAGAUUUACAUUCUAGGGAUCUAUUAUACAUUUAAAAAUUGAAACUAAGAAAAUGUCAAAAUUCACUAUAGUUUACUAUUGAGGAAUUGAAUAUUUUUAUAAAAGUGUCCUCAAGAUGAGUUAGUUGUGUAUAACUAAUUAAAUGAGUGCACGUAGUUAGUUAGAGUUAGUUAGGAUGAUUAGUUAGUAAAAUACGGUUAUUUUUUAGAAUCUUAGUUGUGAUGCUUUAUAUAAAACACUUCUACAAAUAUUUUUUUGGUGAGUUGAAUAUAAAGAAAAGCUUCUACAAAUUCUCUCUCUUUUACUGUUAUAUUGAUUCAAUUUAUAGAAGUUAACAUUUACUUGCUAUUACUAAACAACUAUUAUUUCAUAAUUACUAUUCAUAGCAAUAUUUCUAAGGAUUUUUCUUGAGAGAAAUUUCAUUGUUACUUUAAAAGAAGCAAGAGGAAGGAGAAGAAUUUGAACUGAAAAGGGUGAGAAAAAUGAAGAAAAGGGUAAAUAAGAAAAGGAAUGAAAUUUUUGAGCUUCUGAUCGACAUAAUUUGAUAUAAUGACAACAUACUAGAAGGAAAGAAAUUGAAGAAAGGAGUUUAAGUUAUGUACUCUGAUACUUAAAUUAUAUAUAAGUGUGUUUGGCACAAAGGAAGAUAUUUUUUAUGAAAAAUAUUUUUUGAAAAUAUUAAUUUUUUUUGGUGUUUGUGAGUAAACAUAAAUAUUAUCUCAAUAAUAUUUAUAUAUAAUUUGGACAGACAUUAAUUAUGGACAUGAGUUGAGGUGGGUGGGGUGGAGGGGAUGAGGGGUAGGGUUCACUAAUUAAAACUUUAAAUAAAAAUUUUACUUAACACGAAAAGGUUUUGGAAAUUCAAAGUUUGUUAUUUUUGAAAAACAUAAAAAAUAUAUUUAAUAGAUUUCUUGAUACAAAUUCAAGAUUUAAGCAAAAGUUAAUGGGUUCAUCUAAACUAAUAACUUAUAUGAUAAAGAUUUUUUGUUGAUAGAACUCUUUAAAAAAAAGUUUUUGAAAUUUGAUAAAGUUUUUUAAUUGAAAUAAAGAUCAUCAAAACUAGUAACUUAUAUGAUUAUCUAAAUCUAGUUGCUGCCAAGUGAAAACAAUGAAAGUCAUAUGUUCUUAAUUGCACUUUAUAGUUAUGCCCUGAUAAAGUAUAAGACAACUCUUCUCAAUGUGGGCAACACAUAGAACUUCAUAUUCCUCACAUGGUUUAUGUCGGUUAAGAGAAACUCCCCAAAAGAAAAAUUUAUUUAUUUUAAGAUAAUGUAUGAUUGACCGAGGCCACCAGUUUAAAGAGAAUUUUAAUGGAGUAUUAUUUUUUUAAAAGUUUUAUUUAGACUUUAGUAAUUCAGUUUUAAUUUUUUGAACAUGUUUUUAGAAGAUUUUACUUAUAUUACUUUGAGUUUCAACCUUCAAGUUAGUCAUUCACAUUUUUAGUUAUUCAACUCUAUUUGUGAUUAUAUUAUUCAUGUCUCAGUUUUUAGCUUUAUUAGUCUCAGAUAUUAAAACUGUAUUACUUUACUGCUGUACAUACCAAUAUAUUUAAAGUACUGACACAUACUUCUUGUGCCUAUAUUGUUUCAUAAUAUAAACCCAGGUAUUUCUCAUAGUUUCUACGUUAGCAAGUGCAAGCAAAUUUCAGUCAGUGUUGAUGAGUCCUCAUCCUUCGAGGGCAAUUUAUUCAGAGGUUUCAUUCUAUUUUAGUUCAUUUUAGUUGUUUAGAAUUAGCUUAGGGGGACAGAUUAAUCAGUAUUAGUAGAGGCUUCAUAGACAGUCAGAUAGUUAUACUCAGACUUCAAAUAAUUUAUUACUCAGUCAUGAAAUUAUUUCAUUAUUUAUUUAUAAAAGUGUAACCCAUGUCUCAGCUUUUGCAUUACUUUUCAAUUCAGAUUUUAUGUUUCAUGUCAGACUAAGGAUUAGUUUAGACCACUCAUGAUUUCAAGUACCGUUUCACGUCUAGGGUGUAGAUUCGGAACAUGACAGUAUUUUAUAUUAGACUUUUAUUUAAAUUCAUUUCUGUUAUUUUUUUCAUUUCUCUUGAUAAUCCAUUACGAGCUGUUCCGGACUACGAAUUGACUUACAUACUGGUUAGUUAUAGUAAGUGUCAUCAUAGAAUUAGAAAUCGAGUCAUGACCUUUAUUUAUUUACAAGACUGUAGAAACACAACUAACAGGAGUGUAAGCUAAUACAAUCAACACAAAAAUAAAAUACUUAGACUAUUACAGACUAAUCAUCGACAAGGUGAUUUAUAUUUCCUUCAGGAAAUUCAAAGAAAUCAACAAUAUCUAAAUGCAUAGGCUCAAUAUUAUUUUCAGAGAUAAAGUUUACUUCUGCAUUAUUAUCCAUCUCCUUCAGGGAUGCUUGGUAAAAAUCAACCAGGUGCCUUAAUGUACGGCAUGUACAUGAAAAGUGUCCUUUUUUCUCACAUCAAUAACAUCUAUUUUUUAAAUUAUUAUUUUGUACCGCUUCAGACUAAUUUUCACCUUCUUAUGACGCUGUUGGUGAGGAAGGUUAUUAUUUGGUGUAAGACAAUUAUCAUGAUUAGAGUUUAUUUUUCGACCAUGACUAGGCCAAGACUCUUUUCACACUUGAGUUGGUGAAGAUUUGCAGCAUUCACUUCAGCGAAUGAAACAAUAUUAGUAGAUCAACUUUCAUGAUUUUUAAUCUAAAGAUCAUUAUAUUGUUCAGCCGCAAGAAAAUGUGAAAUUAAUUCAGAAUAGUUUGUAAAUUUCAUUUCUAGGUAUUAUUGCUGCAGGAGGAAACUCGAGGCUGAAAAGGUGGAGUGUUUUCUCUAGCAUAUCAUGAUUUGUGAUAUUUUUUCCGCAUAAAUUUAACUAUGAAAUAGUUUUAAACAUGGCAGAAGUAUACACAAUUAUAUUUUUAAAAUUUUGUAAUCUCAAAUGAAUUCAUUCAUAACGUGUCUAUGGAAGAACAACCAUCUUUAAGUGGUUAUAUAUCUUUUAGAUUACUCCACGAUAUAAGAGGAUUCCUAACAGUGAGAUAUUCCAUUUUUAAUUCCUCAUUGAGGUGAUGAUGGAGAAAUAUCAUAACCUUCAUACGGGCUUGAUUCGAUGCUUGAUUUUUAUCUUUGAUAGUGUCUGGCAGAUCCAUCACACCCAAAUAAAUUUCAACAUCAAGUGCUUAAGAUAAGUAGGAAUUGCCACAUAUAUCCAAGGAAAUAAAUUCACGUUUAGAUAAAUUCGACAUCAUUUUAAGAAAUGUAAAUUCAUACUUUUAUUACCUUUAAAAGAAUUUGUAAGAAAUGAUAGUCUUGUUCUGAUAACAUAUUAUAAAAUAAAGUAUUAAAUUAAUGAAACUAACCAAUGACAUCCAUGUUAACAUCCCCUAUGAGCGAGCUGUGAAAUUCAUUUACCUAGAAGAUAAGUACAACCGUCCAGCUACGACAUAGAUAGAGAAGAAGCAAUGGCAAGAUCCUAACGCUGAAUUAAAGCUGAAUAUAGAUGGCUCAUUCAAUGCCAAAUUCAAAAAAGGAGGAGCUGGAGGUUUGUUACGCAAUCCCGAUGGAAAAUGGCUGAUUGGUUUUAGUGCUUCCAUCAAUGUAAACACUGCAUUUGAAGCUGAAGCUAUGGCUUUACUUAUGGGUCUGUUGUUGGCUGUCAACAAUUACUAUACCUAACACUACUAAA